rnacentral:rRNA from 1 species
UAGGCUUCAAGCGUUGUCCGGAUUUAUUGGGCGUAAAGAGUUCGUAGGYGGUCSAKUAAGUCGGGUGUGAAAAUUCUGGGCUCAACCCAGAGACGCCACCCGAUACUGCUUAACUUGAGUUCGAUAGGGGAGUGGGGAAUUCCUAGUGUAGCGGUGAAAUGCGCAGAUAUUAGGAGGAACACCGRUGGCGAAGGCGGGACUCUGGAUCGAUACUGACGCUGAGGAACGAAAGCAUGGGUAGCAAACRGGAUUAGAUACCCUGGUAGUCCAUGCGGUAAACGGWGGGCACUAGGUGGGGGUUUCUAUCAACGAAAUCCGCGCCGUCGCUAACGCAUUAAGUGCCCCGCCUGGGGAGUACGGUCGCAAGACUAAAACUCAAAGGAAUUGACGGGGGCCCGCACAAGCAGCGGAGCGUGUUCGUUAAUUCA